CCAGCAGCCGCGGUAAUUCCAGCUCCAAUAGCGUAUAUUAAAGUUGUUGCAGUUAAAACGCUCGUAGUCGCAGGUGGUGGGGGGUAGUGGGUUGGCCGGAUGGUUGAUUUACGGCCCCCUAUUUUUGGAGCCUAACCGCUCCGGUUACUUUGAGGAAAUUAGAGUGUUCAUGGCAAGUCUUUGGAUACUGCAGCAUGGAAUAACGGAAGAGGAUUUGCAUCCUGUUUUGUUGGUUUGGGGGUGUGAGUAAUGAUGGAUAGGGGCAGUUGGGGGCAUUAGUAUUUGGCAGCUAGAGGUGAAAUUCUUGGAUUUGCCAAAGACUAACUGGUGCGAAAGCGUUUGCCAAGGAUGUUUUCAUUGAUCAAGAACGAAAGU
rnacentral:rRNA from 1 species